CCCUUAGAUGUUCUGGGCCGCACGCGCGCUACACUGAUGCAUUCAACGAGCCUAUCCUUGACCGACAGGUCCGGGUAAUCUUUGAAUCUGCAUCGUGACGGGGAUAGAUUAUUGCAAUUAUUAAUCUUCAACGAGGAAUGCCUAGUAGGCGCAAGUCAUCAGCUUGCGUCGAUUACGUACCUGCCCUUUGUACACACCGCCCGUCGCUCCUACCGAUUGGGUGUGCUGGUGAAAUGUUCGGAUCGGCCGUUUGUCGCGGUUUCCGCGUCAUGUGGCUGAGAAGUUCAUUAAACCCUCCCACCUAGAGGAAGGAGAAGUCGUAACA
rnacentral:rRNA from 1 species